UACAGAGGUCCCAAGCGUUGUUCGGAUUCACUGGGCGUAAAGGGUGCGUAGGUGGUCGGGUAAGUCUGUUGUGAAAUCUCCGAGCUUAACUCGGAAAUGGCAGUGGAUACUAUCCGGCUUGAGGAAUGGAGGGGAGACUGGAAUACUUGGUGUAGCAGUGAAAUGCGUAGAUAUCAAGUGGAACACCAGUGGCGAAGGCGAGUCUCUGGACAUUUCCUGACGCUGAGGCACGAAAGCCAGGGGAGCAAACGGG
rnacentral:rRNA from 2 species